rnacentral:tRNA from 1 species
GUGGUGGUGCAACGGAUAGCACGUAAGAUUCCGGUUCUUGAGAUGUGGGUUCGAUUCCUGCCGAGGGCGUACCA